rfam:Trichobilharzia regenti genome assembly, scaffold: TRE_scaffold0019352
GUACUGACGAAGAGUCCCAAACUAGGAUGAAACAGCUGUCCAGUAC